rnacentral:rRNA from 1 species
GUGCCAGCACCGCGGUAAUACGGCGGGUGCAAGCGUUGUCCGGAAUCACUGGGCGUCAAGGGUGCGCAGGCGGGGCAGCAAGUCGGAGGUGAAAGCCCGUGGCUCAACCACGGAAGUGCCUUCGAAACUGUUGCUCUUGAGUCCCGGAGAGGUUGCCGGAAUUCGUGGUGUAGAGGUGAAAUGCGUAGAUAUCAGGAGGAAGACCGGAGGCGAAGGCGGUCUGCUGGGGCAUUUCUGACGCUGAGGCGCGAAAGCAUGGGGAGCAAACAGGAUUAGAAACCCUAGUAGUCC